rnacentral:rRNA from 1 species
CGUUCGAUUAGCUUGUUGGUGAGGUAACGGCUCACCAAGGCGAUGAUCGAUAGCUGGUCUGAGAGGAUGAUCAGCCACAUUGGGACUGAGACACGGCCCAAACUCCUACGGGAGGCAGCAGUGGGGAAUAUUGGACAAUGGGCGCAAGCCUGAUCCAGCCAUGCCGCGUGAGUGAUGAAGGCCCUAGGGUUGUAAAGCUCUUUUGUGCGGGAAGAUAAUGACGGUACCGCAAGAAUAAGCCCCGGCUAACUUCGUGCCAGCAGCCGCGGUAAUACGAAGGGGGCUAGCGUUGCUCGGAAUCACUGGGCGUAAAGGGUGCGUAGGCGGGUUCUUAAGUCAGGGGUGAAAUCCUGGAGCUCAACUCCAGAACUGCCUUUGAUACUGAGAGUCUUGAGUACGGGAGAGGUGAGUGGAACUGCGAGUGUAGAGGUGAAAUUCGUAGAUAUUCGCAAGAACACCAGUGGCGAAGGCGGCUCACUGGCCCGUUACUGACGCUGAGGCGCGAAAGCGUGGGGAGCAAACAGGAUUAGAUACCCUGGUAGUCCACGCCGUAAACGAUGAGUGCUAGUUGUCGGGCGGCAUGCCGUUCGGUGACGCAGCUAACGCAU